CUAUAAUUCCUGCCCCGUCUGUCUCUCUCCGGCAUAUGACCACAGAUGUUGCGCCCACUAAACCAAACUUUCCAACUGUUCCCUUCUCCUAUAAUUCCUUCCCCUUCUGUCUCUCUCCGGCAUAUGACCACAGAUGUUGCACCCACUAAACCAAACUUUCCAACUGUUCCCUUCUCCUAUAAUUCCUUCCCCUUCUGUCUCUCUCCGGCAUAUGACCACAGAUGUUGCGCCCACUAAACAAAACUUUCCAACUGUUCCCUUCUAUAAUUCCUUCCCCUUCUGUCUCUCUCCGGCAUAUGACCACAGAUGUUGCGCCCACUAAACAAAACUUUCCAACUUCGAGCACAAAGAAAACUCCACUCUGUUAGCAUCAGUUUGAAUUUCACAUGGCUCUUUCGGUGACAUAUACGCCUCCGCGGUCUAGUGGUCAGCAUGCCUGGCUUCUACUCUGCGGGCCCAGGUUUGAAUCCCGGCCCGGGCAGUCGGCGUGCAGGUCACCCAGCUGUUCAUCCUCCCUCUGGGGCUGGUGGAUAAAUGGGUACCUGGGGAAACCUGGGGAAGGUAAACUGUGGUAACCCAGAUGUCACGCUGGUCCUGUGUCCCGGGGUAAUGGGCUCCCUCCCACCACAGGCUCAAGGGCCAAUGUUACGGAGAUGAGCACCGAGGCCACGCGCUGCUACAGUGUAUGCCCCAAACUUUACCUUUUCGAUGACAAAAUUAUGCCGGUGAUCAAGGUGGCCAAGCUCUCCUAUUCAGUGGCUUGAAGGGAAGUGUGUGUGGAUGGUUUGCUUGCUUACUGAUGUGGUUUGAUUUCCUCACCACAACUUUGCCAGAUUGCUGUACGCUGCCUUUAACCCGGUAGCAGCGACGGGCCAAAACCGCCCUGUGCCAUAUCUGAGAUCGCCGCGCGCGCCAAAUUUCAAAUGUCGCUAUUGAAUAUAACAAGUUUUCAGCCAUAAACUCAACAUAAUCAUCAUGUAUUAUAUAUGAAAACAUGCAGAAUUAAAUGGUGCACAUAAAGAAACAUAAAUUAACUGAUAAUUUUGAGAUGUAAGCAUGAAUAUAAAGAUAAGAUAAUUCGUAUAUUAGGUUAAGGGGGAAAGUUUUCAAUCUUGGAUGAAAAAAUAAGAAAAUAAAAAAAUCACAUGAAUCAGUUGUAGCAGUGCGGAGAUUAUAAAUACGUUGCCAGGCCUAAAACCCUGUUCUUUCCCUUUAAAAUUUAAAGGUCUCGUAGCACGUGGGCCCGCUAAGCCACGCCCCUCUCCCUACUCAUGUCUUUCUUGUUAGUUUUUAUGCGUUUUUACGCAUAAAAUGGAACAUUCUUUCUUCCUAAACAAGUGUACGAGACUUUUGGCUGUCGGUACUCAGCCCGCGUCGUGCCGGCAACACGACUCAGAACCUCCAUAGCCUCGUACGUGACUGUACGUACAGCCUUUCUCUUGCCCUUUUCCUCAAUCGGAGACAGUUUACGGCCUGCAGUGCUGUGUUGAAGCUCAACAAUGGGCAGAAAAAGCAGAAGGCAUGUUGAACUGAGUAAAAGAGCUACGGGAAGGUGGAAAAGUUACUGGCAAGAUACGAAAGAACGUACUAUAUCCCAGCCGCCUGCCCGACCACAAGCACCUCACGCUGCUGGUACUGCUCCCACCCUCACUCCCCGGCCUGUUGUCGAGAGAGAUGUGACUGCCGCAGAACUCAGACAUAGCCCAGUACCUGCAGAGCUCAGGGAGGCGAAGGAUAAAGACGAGGAGGAUAACAGACUCGUGAUAAUGUCUGUUCAUAGACCGAAACAGUUGCUUAGCAUGAUCAAGUGUGACUCGUGUGGCGGUGAAGUGGUGAAUUACAUCAAGGCCAAGUACUUUGAUUGUUAUGUGAGUGCUAAAUGCAGUGAGUGUAGGAUGAUGGUGUUACACAAUGGUACAGGUCACCCCUUUGUUAUGUGAGUGUAGGAUAAUGGUGUUACACAAUGGUACAGGUCACCCCUUUGUUAUGUGAGUGUAGGAUGAUGGUGUUACACAAUGGUACAGGUCACCCCUUUGUUAUGUGAGUGUAGGAUGGUGGUGUUACACAAUGGUACAGGUCACCCCUUUGUUAUGUGAGUGUAGGAUGAUGGUGUUACACAAUGGUACAGGUCACCCCUUUGUUAUGUGAGUGUAGGAUGAUGGUGUUACACAAUGGUACAGGUCACCCCUUUGUUAUGUGAGUGUAGGAUGGUGGUGUUACACAGUGGUACAGGUCACCCCUUUGUUAUGUGAGUGUAGGAUAAUGGUGUUACACAAUGGUACAGGUCACCCCUUUGUUAUGUGAGUGUAGGAUGCUGGUGUUACACAAUGGUACAGGUCACCCCUUUGUUAUGUGAGUGUAGGAUGGUGGUGUUACACAAUGGUACAGGUCACCCCUUUGUUAUGUGAGUGUAGGAUGGUGGUGUUACACAAUGGUACAGGUCACCCCUUUGUUAUGUGAGUGUAGGAUGAUGGUGUUACACAAUGGUACAGGUCACCCCUUUGUUAUGUGAGUGUAGGAUGAUGGUGUUACACAAUGGUACAGGUCACCCCUUUGUUAUGUGAGUGUAGGAUUAUGGUGUUACACAGUGGUACAGGUCACCCCUUUGUUAUGUGAGUGUAGGAUGAUGGUGUUACACAAUGGUACAGGUCACCCCUUUGUUAUGUGAGUGUAGGAUAAUGGUGUUACACAAUGGUACAGGUCACCCCUUUGUUAUGUGAGUGUAGGAUGAUGGUGUUACACAAUGGUACAGGUCACCCCUUUGUUAUGUGAGUGUAGGAUAAUGGUGUUACACAAUGGUACAGGUCACCCCUUUGUUAUGUGAGUGUAGGAUGAUGGUGUUACACAAUGGUACAGGUCACCCCUUUGUUAUGUGAGUGUAGGAUGAUGGUGUUACACAAUGGUACAGGUCACCCCUUUGUUAUGUGAGUGUAGGAUGCUGGUGUUACACAAUGGUACAGGUCACCCCUUUGUUAUGUGAGUGUAGGAUAAUGGUGUUACACAAUGGUACAGGUCACCCCUUUGUUAUGUGAGUGUAGGAUGAUGGUGUUACACAAUGGUACAGGUCACCCCUUUGUUAUGUGAGUGUAGGAUAAUGGUGUUACACAAUGGUACAGGUCACCCCUUUGUUAUGUGAGUGUAGGAUGAUGGUGUUACACAAUGGUACAGGUCACCCCUUUGUUAUGUGAGUGUAGGAUAAUGGUGUUACACAAUGGUACAGGUCACCCCUUUGGAGUGAAGUUGACCUAGGAAAGGACCUGACCACUGCAAGCAAACCCAACAUAGCAUAAUAAAGUAAAGAGCCUCUGUUUGUAGAAUUGUGUUCCUAAAUAUUGCAUUUAUCAAAGUAUGAUACAAAAAUGCAUUUUCCUCGGAAUCUUUUUUUUUUUUAACAUUUAAAAUUUAAUUUCUUGGCUUGUAAUCAACCGACCUUAAUUUUCUUUGUUGCAAAAUAAUCUUAAUGAAAAUGCCUAAAAAUAUGGUAAUUAAAAUGUCUCUAAAACUAAUAGUUUUUACCGAGCAAUUUUUAGACCCCUAAUUUUUUGAAAAAGAAAAUAACUAGUUUUGAUUUUUUAUAAUAUGUUUAUUAUUAAUGACAUGCAAUUUUGAAUUAACAGAUUAGUACAUUAGGGUGUCUUCUUUCUCUUAACGUAAAGGAAAUAACUUUAUGUUAUAUAGUUAACAUGAAAUUACAGUUUUUUCUAAUGUAGGUAAAAAACCUGAUUUAUUAUUUUUUGGAGAAAACUAUUUCACAGAUUUGAAAGCAAAACGCAGCGGUACCACAUAAUAAUGUCAUCCUUACUGUGUAAAAAA